rnacentral:rRNA from 1 species
GAUGAACGCUGGCGGCAUGCCUAAUACAUGCAAGUCGAACGAGAGGAAGGAAAGCUUGCUUUUCUGAAUCUAGUGGCGAACGGGUGAGUAACACGUAGGUAACCUGCCCAUGUGCCCGGGAUAACUUCUGGAAAUGGAUGCUAAAACCGGAUAGGUAGCAGACAAGCAUUUGACUGCUAUUAAAGUGGCUAAGGCCAUGAACAUGGAUGGACCUGCGGUGCAUUAGCAAGUUGGUGAGGUAACGGCCCACCAAGGCGACGAUGCAUAGCCGGCCUUGGAGGGCGGACGGCCACAUUGGGACUGGGACACGGACCAAACUCCUACGGGAGGCAGCAGUAGGGAAUUUUCGUCAAUGGGGGGAACCCUGAACGAGCAAUGCCGCGUGAGUGAGGAAGGUCUUCGGAUCGUAAAGCUCUGUUGUAAGAGAAAAACGACAUUCAUAGGGAAUGAUGAGUGAGUGGUGGUAUCUUACCAGAAAGUCACGGCUAACUACGUGCCAGCCGCCGCCGUAA